UACGAGGGGGGCAAAUGUUGUUCGGAAUCACUGGGCGUAAAGGGAGCGUAGGCGGGUUCUUAAGUAAGGUGUUUAAUCCCGGGGCCCAACCCCGGACCGGCACUUUAAACUGGGAAUCUUGAAUAGUGGAGGGGUCGGUGGAAUUGGGGGUGUAGCGGUGGAAUGCGUAGAGAUCCCCAAGAACACCAGUUGCGAAGGCGGCCGACUGGACACAUAUUGACGCUGAGGCUCGAAAGCAUGAGGAGCAAACAGG
rnacentral:rRNA from 1 species